rnacentral:rRNA from 1 species
UACAGAGGUCUCGAGCGUUAGGCGGAAUCACUGGGCUUAAAGCGUGUGUAGGUGGAUCGUUAAGUACCUUGUGAAAUCCCACGGCUUAACCGUGGAACUGCUUGGUAUACUGGGUGUCUUGAGCCACUUAGGGGCGACCGGAACAAACGGUGGAGCGGUGAAAUGCGUAGAUAUCGUUUGGAACGCCAAUGGUGAAAACAGGUCGCUGGGAGUGCGCUGACGCUGAGACACGAAAGCCAGGGGAGCGAACGGG